rnacentral:rRNA from 1 species
GAUGAACGCUAGCGACAGGCCUAACACAUGCAAGUCGAGGGGCAGCGGGUAAGUAGCUUGCUACUUAUGCCGGCGACCGGCGCACGGGUGAGUAACGCGUAUGCAACCUGGCUACAACAGGGGGAUAGCCCGUUGAAAGACGGAUUAAUACCGCAUAAUACAAUUUUCCCGCAUGGGGAUAUUGUUAAAACUACGGUGGUUGUAGAUGGGCAUGCGUUCCAUUAGCUAGUUGGUAAGGUAAUGGCUUACCAAGGCAACGAUGGAUAGGGGAACUGAGAGGUUUAUCCCCCACACUGGAACUGAGACACGGACCAGACUCCUACGGGAGGCAGCAGUGAGGAAUAUUGGUCAAUGGGCGAGAGCCUGAACCAGCCAAGUCGCGUGAAGGAUGACGGUCUUAUGGAUUGUAAACUUCUUUUAUACAGGAAUAAAAAAGAGUACGUGUACUUUCUUGUAUGUACUGUAUGAAUAAGCAUCGGCUAACUCCGUGCCAGCAGCCGCGGUAAUACGGAGGAUGCGAGCGUUAUCCGGAUUUAUUGGGUUUAAAGGGUGCGUAGGCGGACUAAUAAGUCAGCGGUGAAAUCUUGUGGCUCAACCAUAAAACUGCCGUUGAAACUGUUAAUCUUGAGUAUAGAUGAAGUAGGCGGAAUUCGUUGUGUAGCGGUGAAAUGCUAAGCUAUUACUGACGCUGAAGCACGAAAGCGUGGGCAUCAAACAGGAUUAGAUACCCUGGUAGUCCACGCCGUAAACGAUGAUUACUAGCUGUUUGCGAUAUGACAGUAAGUGGCUAAGCGAAAGCGAUAAGUAAUCCACCUGGGGAGUACGCCGGCAACGGUGAAACUCAAAGGAAUUGACGGGGGCCCGCACAAGCGGAGGAACAUGUGGUUUAAUUCGAUGAUACGCGAGGAACCUUACCCGGGCUUGAAAUGUACAUGACGAUAGAGGAAACUUUAUUUCUAGCAAUAGCAUGUAUGUAGGUGCUGCAUGGUUGUCGUCAGCUCGUGCCGUGAGGUGUCGGCUUAAGUGCCAUAACGAGCGCAACCCCUAUUAUUAGUUACUAACAGUUUAAGCUGAGGACUCUAAUAAGACUGCCGGCGUAAGCCGCGAGGAAGGUGGGGAUGACGUCAAAUCAGCACGGCCCUUACGUCCGGGGCGACACACGUGUUACAAUGGGAGGUACAAAGGGCUGCUACCUGGCGACAGGAUGCCAAUCUCUAAAACCUCUCCCAGUUCGGAUCGGAGUCUGCAACUCGACUCCGUGAAGCUGGAUUCGCUAGUAAUCGCGCAUCAGCCAUGGCGCGGUGAAUACGUUCCCGGGCCUUGUACACACCGCCCGUCAAGCCAUGGAAGCCGGGGGUAUCUGAAGUACGUAACCGCAAGGAGCGUCCUAGGGUAAAACUGGUAACUGGGGCU